GGAAUAGUGUACAGUGUUUCAUAAUGAAGGACAUUGAAUAUAUAUACAUUUAAUUUUUUGUUCCAGUACUUCCGUUAUCUUCUUGAUCUGUACUGCAGCACAUCAUGUGCACACUGGAAUUAACGGCCACAAUUUAUCAUGAUUAGUGUUCCAAAUGAGCUUUGUCAUAUUUCCAUGUUUUGUCUCUUCUUGCUUUAGAUAUUGCAUGAAGUUUCUAAUAUUCUUC
rnacentral:misc_RNA from 1 species